rnacentral:rRNA from 1 species
GACGAACGCUGGCGGCGUGCUUAACACAUGCAAGUCGAACGGAAAGGCCCUGCUUUUGUGGGGUGCUCGAGUGGCGAACGGGUGAGUAACACGUGAGUAACCUGCCCUUGACUUUGGGAUAACUUCAGGAAACUGGGGCUACUACCGGAUAGGAGCUCCUGCUGCAUGGUGGGGGUUGGAAAGUUUCGGCGGUUGGGGAUGGACUCGCGGCUUAUCAGCUUGUUGGUGGGGUAGUGGCUUACCAAGGCUUUGACGGGUAGCCGGCCUGAGAGGGUGACCGGCCACAUGGGGACUGAGAUACGGCCCAGACGCCUACGGGAGGCAGCAGUGGGGAAUAUUGCACAAUGGGCGGAAGCCUGAUGCAGCAACGCCGCGUUCGGGAUGACGGCCUUCGUGUUGUAAACCGCUUUCGCCUGUUACGAAGCGUGAGUGACGGUAAUGGGUAAAGAAGCACCGGCUAACUACGUG